AGGUGGUGUGGUGGCCUCAUAGGGCUUGGCUGUGACUUAGAAGGAAAGGCAGGGUUGAGCAAGUAGGGAGGGGCAGAUACUAGGAGAGUAGGUAAGGGAGGGGGCACUUUAGAGGGGCUACUAAGAAGUCCCUCUGCUUGGCCAAGUGCUCAAGCAUCCUCUGACUUCCAAUCCAAGCCUUUCCUUCUCUCUAGCCUUUCCUCAAUGAGCAGCCUUGGUGGAGACAAAGUCACAGUCACUCACCUUGAAGUGAAUUAAAGAGCUGCCAGUCCAUGUGUCUCAAAAUAACAUGAGUUAAACAUCUUAAACAUAUUCAUCAUGUGGCAACAUCAACUCAGAAAGCAGUACAUCUUGGAGGCUGUCACAAACCCAGGGAUUUUUAUCUCAAUAGUGAAUGACUACAGGAUCCCUGGGGCUGAUGCAGCUAUUCGACAGUGUACAAUUAUAUGUACCUCGUUCAGGCGUGGCUGCAAUAGAGGAGUGCUGCUAUACUGUUGUGAUACUUUUCCCACAUCACUGUUGCCACAUGAGGGAGUCCACUUUGGCCAGGGACUUGGUCAUUUGGUGCCAGCACCACAAUGAUGAGAAGAAAGUCUCUGUAUUACUCUGGUUCUUAGAGCAUGUUCGCUGCUGGACCUCAUUAACAAAUCNUUUUCCCACAUCACUGUUGCCACAUGAGGGAGUCCACUUUGGCCAGGGACUUGGCCAUUUGGUGCCAGCACCACAAUGAUGAGAGGAAAGUCUCUAUUGCUCUGGUUCUUAGAGCAUGUUUGCUGCUGGACCUCAUUAACAAAUAAAAAUG
rnacentral:lncRNA from 1 species